UGACAUCCCCCUUACCUGUACAGAGAUGGACGUUCCCCUUCGGGGGCAGGGGUGACAGGUUGUGCAUGGUUGUCGUCAGCUCGUGUCGNGAGAUCUUGGGUUAAGUCCCGCAAGGAGCGCCACCAUUCUCUUGUGCCCCCAGCAUUAAGUUGGGCACUCUAAGGAGGCAGCCGGUGACAAACUGGAGGAAGGUGGGGAUGACGUCAAAUCAUCAUGGCCCUUAUGAGCAUGGUCACACACGUGCUACAAUAAGGGUGGNCCGCCCA
rnacentral:rRNA from 1 species